rnacentral:rRNA from 1 species
GACGAACGCUGGCGGCAUGCCUAAUACAUGCAAGUCGAGCGAACAGAUGAAGUGCUUGCACUUCUGACGUUAGCGGCGAACGGGUGAGUAACACGUAAGGAAUCUACCUAUAAGCGGGGGAUAACAUUCGGAAACGGGUGCUAAUACCGCAUAAUAUCUUCUUCCGCAUGGAAGAAGAUUGAAAGACGGCUCUGCUGUCACUUAUAGAUGACCUUGCGGUGCAUUGGUUAGUUGGUGGGGUAAUGGCCUACCAAGACGAUGAUGCAUAGCCGACCUGAGAGGGUGAUCGGCCACAUUGGGACUGAGACACGGCCCAAACUCCUACGGGAGGCAGCAGUAGGGAAUCUUCCGCAAUGGGCGAAAGCCUGACGGAGCAAUGCCGCGUGAGUGAAGAAGGCCUUCGGAUCGUAAAACUCUGUUAUAAGAGAAGAACAAAUUGUAGAGUAACUGCUACAGUCUUGACGGUAUCUUAUCAGAAAGCCACGGCUAACUACGUGCCAGCCGCCGCAGUAA